rnacentral:SRP_RNA from 1 species
CCGUGCUAGGCGGGGAACUAGCGGUGCCCUGUACCCGAAAACCGCUAUAGCGGGGCUGAAUUCCUGCUUGAGGUUGACAGCCGGCUAGAUUUGUUGUUGCCGAGCGGCGU